ACACACACCCACACACAAACUUAGCUCUUCUUAGUUUGCAAAACAAAGCUAUACUUGAUCAACGUUUUGUUGUGUGUAUUUUGUGAUGAGUGUAUAGAGAGCACUCAAUUUCUUUCGCAAUGACCGAUUUCACUUUAUGAGUUGCACAGAUUCUUUUUUUGAUUGUACUGGUUUCCUAUCUCUUCCUCAUCUUGUGUUAAGAACAUUUACUGUAACAUGAGGUGUGUAUCGUCUGCCAUAUGUGCCUACUUUGCAGUUCUUACAUUUAACUUGUGGUGUGUUAGAAUGGAUUUUUUUUCUCAUCCGUUACAGUUGUCAGUCAUAUUAUCUGCAGUUUGUCUGAGAUACAAAUCAUAUCACAUUAUAACCUUAAAUUCUUAAUAUAUUCAAAGCAUUUUCAGUAGGGUGUAGGUUACAUUUUGACUGAUCUUUUCUUUAGCUUGUAAUUUAAGUUAAUAUUUCUGCAUUUAUUGGAUUCAAAUUGAAACCUCUUGCAAACUGAGAUGAGCCCAGGUGCUCUUUAGCACAGCGUUUGUCUCUACAAUCUGCGAUGCAUGUCAGCCACGCUGAACAUUUCCUCCCCCCCACAGGCUCUUGAUCACAUUCCGCUGCACUAAUCUCCAAUAUGACUGCUUUGUAAAUACCAAUGAUGGCAGUCCUGUUAUCUACAUUUGACUUGUGCAAUGUGCAAGAGCAUAACACUGGUAAACAACUCCAAAUGGGUAAUAAAAGUUUUUUUUUCUUCUUUUUUCUUGAUGA